rnacentral:lncRNA from 1 species
CAACUACAUUGUGACAGACUACAUUAAACUACAUUCUAACUACAAGUUAUAUUACAAAAAGCAUAACUACAAAUUACUUUACAAAAAACAAAUCAACUACACUAUAACUACACGUAUACCAUGUCUUUAAUCACGGUUCCAAAUAAUACUAUAAAAUUGCAGACCACAUAUCAACUACGUUGUGACAGACUACAUUAAACUACGUUAUAACUACAAGUUAUUUU